GUUUUUGAGCUCAUGGAGUCAGAUCUACACCAAGUUAUCAAGGCUAAUGAUGACUUGACUCGGGAACAUUAUCAGUUUUUCCUUUAUCAGUUGCUUCGUGCCUUAAAAUAUAUACACACAGGUAAAUCAGUCUGGUAUUUUGCUGCAUCUUUUGAUCCCAUAGAAUUUUGAGCUCUUAUAAUGUUACACAUAAUCUAUUUCCCCUUAUUUUCAAAUUUCGGAGAGGAUUAUGUUUGUGUAUCUCUAAAUGGGGCACUGACCAGUCCUG
rnacentral:misc_RNA from 1 species